rnacentral:rRNA from 1 species
AUUGAACAUAAGAGUUUGAUCCUGGCUCAGAUUGAACGCUGGCGGCAUGCUUUACACAUGCAAGUCGGACGGCAGCACAGAGAAGCUUGCUUCUUGGGUGGCGAGUGGCGAACGGGUGAGUAAUAUAUCGGAACGUACCGAGUAAUGGGGGAUAACUAAUCGAAAGAUUAGCUAAUACCGCAUAUUCUCUGAGGAGGAAAGCAGGGGACCUUCGGGCCUUGCGUUAUUCGAGCGGCCGAUAUCUGAUUAGCUAGUUGGUGGGGUAAAGGCCUACCAAGGCGACGAUCAGUAGCGGGUCUGAGAGGAUGAUCCGCCACACUGGGACUGAGACACGGCCCAGACUCCUACGGGAGGCAGCAGUGGGGAAUACGUAGGGUGCGAGCGUUAAUCGGAAUUACUGGGCGUAAAGCGAGCGCAGACGGUUACUUAAGCAGGAUGUGAAAUCCCCGGGCUCAACCUGGGAACUGCGUUCUGAACUGGGUGACUAGAGUGUGUCAGAGGGAGGUAGAAUUCCACGUGUAGCAGUGAAAUGCGUAGAGAUGUGGAGGAAUACCGAUGGCGAAGGCAGCCUCCUGGGAUAACACUGACGUUCAUGCUCGAAAGCGUGGGUAGCAAACAGGAUUAGAUACCCUGGNNNNNNNNNGUGCAUGGUUGUCGUCAGCUCGUGUCGUGAGAUGUUGGGUUAAGUCCCGCAACGAGCGCAACCCUUGUCAUUAGUUGCCAUCAUUAAGUUGGGCACUCUAAUGAGACUGCCGGUGACAAGCCGGAGGAAGGUGGGGAUGACGUCAAGUCCUCAUGGCCCUUAUGACCAGGGCUUCACACGUCAUACAAUGGUCGGUACAGAGGGUAGCCAAGCCGCGAGGCGGAGCCAAUCUCACAAAACCGAUCGUAGUCCGGAUUGCACUCUGCAACUCGAGUGCAUGAAGUCGGAAUCGCUAGUAAUCGCAGGUCAGCAUACUGCGGUGAAUACGUUCCCGGGUCUUGUACACACCGCCCGUCACACCAUGGGAGUGGGGGAUACCAGAAGUAGGUAGGGUAACCGCAAGGAGCCCGCUUACCACGGUAUGCUUCAUGACUGGGGUGAAGUCGUAACAAGGUAGCCGUAGGGGAACCUGCGGCUGGAUCACCUCCUUUCUAG